GGGGGGGGGGGGGGGGGGGGGUGGGGGGGGGGGGUCGGGGGGGGGUGCGGGAGGGUUGGGUCUCUGCUGUUGGCGGCGGAGGGGUGGGUCCCACUUGGCUCACCUGGCUAUCAGCCUGUGCUCACUUCUGGGAACCGGAGCUCCUACCGGCUCAUAUUUUGCCCCGCAUUGUUCUCACUUGACGGCCGGUCUUGUUUUCACUGCUAGCUGGCUACGCGCUGCAUUAGCUCGUUGGUAAGUGAACGGCUUACCAAGUCAACUAAGCAUAACCGACCUGAGAGGGUGAUCGGCCACACGGGAACUGAGACACGGUCCAGACUCCUACGGGAGGCAUCAGUAGGGAAUCUGCCGCAAUGGGCGAAAGCUUGACGGAGCAACGCCGCGUGAGUGAUGAAGGUCUUCGGAUCGUAAAACUCUGUUAUUAGGGAAGAACAAAUGUGUAAGUAACUGUGCACAUCUUGACGGUACCUAAUCAGAAAGCCACGGCUAACUACGUG
rnacentral:rRNA from 1 species